rnacentral:rRNA from 1 species
UACGGAGGGUGCAAGCGUUAUCCGGAUUUAUUGGGUUUAAAGGGUCCGUAGGCGGACUCGUAAGUCAGUGGUGAAAUCUCAUAGCUUAACUAUGAAACUGCCAUUGAUACUGCGGGUCUUGAGUGAGGUAGAGGUAGCUGGAAUAAGUAGUGUAGCGGUGAAAUGCAUAGAUAUUACUUAGAACACCAAUUGCGAAGGCAGGUUACCAUGUCUUAACUGACGCUGAUGGACGAAAGCGUGGGGAGCGAACAGG